rnacentral:rRNA from 1 species
CUACGGGUCGCUGCAGGUGGGAAUAUUGGACAAUGGGCGAAAGCCUGAUCCAGCAAUACCGCGUGAAUGAUGAAGGCCUUCGGGUUGUAAAGUUCUUUUAAUAGGGAAGAUAAUGACGGUACCUAUAGAAUAAGCACCGGCAAACUUCGUGCCAGCAGCCGCGGUAAUACGAAGGGUGCUAGCGUUGUUCGGAAUUAUUGGGCGUAAAGGGUGUGUAGGUCGUUUCGAAAGUUAGUUGUGAAAUCCCAGGGCUCAACCCUGGAAUUGCGGCUAAAACUACGGGACUAGAGUAUGAUAAGCGAUGGCAGAAUUUCUAGUGUAGGGGUAAAAUCCGCAGAUAUUAGAAGGAAUACCGGUGGUGUAGACGGCUAUCUUGGUCAUUACUGACACUGAAACACGAAAGUGUGGGGAGCAAACAGGAUUAGAUACCCGAGUAGUC